UAUAUUAUAGCAACACAAGAACUUUUAAAUAAAACUCUCAACAAAGAUGAAGCUUCUUCUGUUCGCCGUCGUUGCUAUGGGAGCCAGCUGCCAUAGCGCCUGCUGGACCUAUUUUUCAAUCUCACCAAAAUACAGGGCAGUGGUGCCCUGUCCAAGGCCAGAUAUUCAAGACUUGAGCGUCGGCCUGCCCUGCUACCUGCACCACCCCCAUCACUAUUUGUUCACGUCAAUGCACACAAAAAUGUGAGUGUCCUGCGUAGGACAGGUUAUUGAUGAGAACAAGAAUAAAUGUGCUCCACAAAAUCAGUGCCCAGCUAAGGGAGAUGUAUGCGUCGUAAAUGGGGUGACUUACAAUGUUGGAGACCAUUUCAAAGGCCGAUGCAAUUUCUGGUACAGUGUGCAAGUGAGGUGUGUGAGAGACAAUGUAUUGUAGCACGCUACUUUUAAUACAUGCAGCACGUGUCAUGAGGGUGGCAGGGAAGCUUGUACCAAGAUGGUGUCAUGAGGGUGGCAGGGCAGCUUGUACCAAGAUGGUGUCAUGAGGGUGGCAGGGCAGCUUGUACCAAGAUGGUGUCAUGAGGGUGGCAGGGCAGCUUGUACCAAGAUGGUGUCAUGAGGGUGGCAGGGCAGCUUGUACCAGGAUGGUGUCAUGAGGGUGGCAGGGCAGCUUGUACCAAGAUGGUGUCAUGAGGGUGGCAGGGCAGCUUGUACCAAGAUGGUGUCAUGAAGGUGGCAGGGCAGCUUGUACCAAGAUGGUGUCAUGAGGGUGGCAGGGCAGCUUGUACCAAUAUGGGCUGCUGGGGUAACAGUAUAUGUUGAGUGUAUGUUAAUGAGGCAAAUAGUUAUACAGUUGUUCCAAAUGAGAUGGCAGCAGCUAAAGUAUAUAAUAGGAAUGUAUUUAUGUGAUAAUUAUUAUAGUAACGGUUUCCACAACGAGCAAUUUAAUAUACAUUCAUGCAUGCAAUAUUGCAAUUGUGUAUAGGUUGUAAGCUUGACUAACUGGAGAGUGUCUGUGUCUAAGUAAUAUUUGUAUAGCGCGAAAUGUUUGAGGCAUUUAAGUUUCGUGGAAUGGCCUCUAAAAGCAUUUUGUAAACAUUCCAAGGCCACGCCUUUAAUCCUUGCACGGUUAUAGCAUAAUUUUCGUGUAGGAUUACUAACCCACGAACAGUGAAAAUUAAGCCCCUCAAAAUUUCGCACUAUACGGUAUGAAAGGAAUUGACUUGCUUCCUAAAUUUGAUUUUAUGCAUGUGACAAGCGAGACCGAUAAACAUUGGCAUAUUAAUAUGUACACAGCCGUUUCUGCUUUCAAUAACAUCCUCAUGAUCUAAUACAAAAUAAGGUGUAUAGAAUAAUUAUAGGCUACUAUUUGUACUUCCUAUGAAAUUGUACGCAACC